ACACAUGCAAGUCGAACGAUGAAGCCCAGCUUGCUGGGUGGAUUAGUGGCGAACGGGUGAGUAACACGUGAGUAACCUGCCCCUGACUCUGGGAUAAGCGUUGGAAACGACGUCUAAUACUGGAUAUGACUACUGGUCGCAUGGCCUGGUGGUGGAAAGAUUUUUUGGUUGGGGAUGGACUCGCGGCCUAUCAGCUUGUUGGUGAGGUAAUGGCUCACCAAGGCGACGACGGGUAGCCGGCCUGAGAGGGUGACCGGCCACACUGGGACUGAGACACGGCCCAGACUCCUACGGGAGGCAGCAGUGGGGAAUAUUGCACAAUGGGCGAAAGCCUGAUGCAGCAACGCCGCGUGAGGGAUGACGGCCUUCGGGUUGUAAACCUCUUUUAGUAGGGAAGAAGCGAAAGUGACGGUACCUGCAGAAAAAGCACCGGCUAACUACGUGCCAGCAGCCGCGGUAAUACGUAGGGUGCAAGCGUUGUCCGGAAUUAUUGGGCGUAAAGAGCUCGUAGGCGGUUUGUCGCGUCUGCUGUGAAAUCCCGAGGCUCAACCUCGGGCUUGCAGUGGGUACGGGCAGACUAGAGUGCGGUAGGGGAGAUUGGAAUUUCCUGGUGUAGCGGUGGGAAUGCGCAGAUAUCAGAGGACACGAUGGCGAAGGCAGAUCUCUGGCGUACUGACGCUGAGGAGCGAAGCGUGGGGAGCGACAGAAUAGAUACCUGUAGUCACGCGUAACGUUGGCGCUAGAUGUAGGACUUCACGUUUCUGUGUUCGUAGCUACGCAUAAGCGCCUCGCUGGGGAGUACGGUCGACAAGCUUAACUCGAAGGAAUGACUGGGGUCURCCUAAGCUCGCUGAACUUGCGAUUAAUGACGAUUGCAAUC
rnacentral:rRNA from 1 species